CUGCUCCUCACGGCUUCCGGGCGGAGCCCAAUCGACACACGCCCACGCAUAGAGGGAGGCUGACGCAGUGACACCACCACAGAAGUGUGCGGCACACGCGUCCACCAGUGUCUGCGUCUGUGUGUGUGUGUGCACACGCACUAGGCCCCUCCCCCCGUUCAUAGACCUUCACUAGCGCUACGUACACACAGACACCCCUACAUCGAUACAGAGAAGGACCGAGUGAGUGAGCGGUGCAUCGACUACGGCUUUCAUCUCCCUUGGGUUACAUUCUUCGCCGAUUGUGCGCAGCUGCGCUGCCCUCCUCUCUGGCUUCUGCCACAGUCCCCGCCCGCCGAUGUGGGUCGUCCUCUUUCACGACACGCCGCACUUUUGGUUGGUGGGCGGGGAGUCCUACCGAGUCGGCAAGGCGAACUGCCACGUCGUCAUUCAGGAUGACCGCAGCAUCAGCCGCACCCACCUCACCAUCACCGUAGGCUUGCAGUCGUCCACGGCGGCCCGUGAUGCCAAGGAGUGGGCCCCACAGCCCAUUUCGCUGCUCGACUCAUCCACCUACGGCACCGCCAUCGUAGCAUGCGGAGAGGAUGCCGACGACGCCGAGACACUCGACGACACUCCACAUAACGGAGGUGAUAGCCGUGCCGGCGGUGCCGGGGCUGCGACGUCACCUGCUCCAGAGAUGGGUGUUCUCGGCUUUUGCUACGCCCCCGCCGCAGCCGCUGCAGCAGCGGCAGCCCGCAAGCGGCAGCGCUCCGGAUCGACCUCAGGCCGCGGGGCACCCCAGCCUGCCCUGCAUCUGACCAAGCAAGUCCCUUGCCAUGUGCCGGUGCAUCGCUCCUCCUGGCAUCAGUUCACCAUUUACCUAGGCCAUCAUGGCGCUGCGCUGAAGCUAGUGUGGCUAGACGUGUCGGCCCUGUGCGAGGAUGUCGACGCGGAGGUGCAGCCAAAGCUGUUGCACGCGCUGCACUGCUGCGGUGUGCGGCAGGAAACCGUCUCUGGCAGCACCCAAGCCUUGAGUGCGACCGAGACACAAGGCAGCGCUGUGGGACGCUCGCGCAUCGACGGCAGCGGCCUUUCCCUGAGCCAGCGGUCAGCGGUUGCAGGCACGCCUUCGGCGACUCCGUCUCCCACUGUCGUGACCGCUGCGGCUGCGGCUGCUGGCGAAGCAGCGCUCUCCUCACGCGUUUUACGCUGCUACAACACGGUGAGCUUUCUGGUGACGAGCACGGUGCAGCCCUCGACCGCGGUCGUCGCGAUGCUCUGCAGGGCUGUGCCUAUCGUCACCCCCGACUUCUUCAUGGCCGUUUGUGACCGCGCCUCGCCGCAGAUUCCGCUGCCCGAUCCGUCGCGCUACUUGCCGCCCCUGUCUUCGUGGUGGCGUGACUUCCUGACGCACGUGCGGCCGUCAGCCGGCGAAUCGCGCCCCUGUGAGGGCGACGCCUCGGUGACCGCGUCCACUCUCACACACCUCUCCACCACGGUGACAUCGGUGGCAGGCGAGUCAGCCGCUGCAGCUGCCGCGGCGUCGCACCUGCGCUACUUCGCCCCACACCCGCAGCGCCGAGAGCUGCUUAGCGGUAUCACCUUUGUCCUCCUCCAGUAUCCGCUGUACGAGGAGGUGCUGAGCUACCUCGACGGCACUGGCGCCCGUGUGGUGUGGGAAGAUGGCGGUAUUGGCGGCCUCUCAGCCCCGCUCUGCGCGUCCACCUCGUCCUCGCGAGCGGCGCUUGAGGCGCUACAGUCAUUUUUCGUGCGCCAUCAGCGGCAUGUCCUGCUCUUCAACGAAACAGAGCCGCUGCUGCCAUGGCCGGGGUGCGUGGAUGUUGUGCGGCACGGCCUGAGCCUCUGCAGUGUCGAGUACGGCACGCUGAUCGAGGCGAUUGUGACAAUGCGGCCCUUGCCGCUGCCCCCCUACCCGGCCGAUGUGCAGAUGCCGCAGACCUUCGAGGAGGUGGAGGCUCGCGUGGCGGCGGCGACGGCAUUGGUAUCCACCCCGCCCGCGGCCACGGCGCAGGAGGCGGCGGAGGAGCACACGCAAGACAGUGAUGAGGAGGGACGCCGGACUGAUGCGCAGCCGCUCUUCCCAGAGCUGGUGCAAGGCAGCGACGCCGGCGUGGGCCGUGGUGAUAUGCGCGACACUCGUGUCCAUCGAAGGCCACGCAAAGAGGACGUAGACGGGUGGGUGAGCUUCGAGCGGCCCGCCACCAUUGCACCCUUGCCCGCGGGGCUCUCAACGGACAACAAGCCCAACGGCAGUGCCGCUGUGCGCACAGUGGAGUUGCUUGUGGGGCCCUACUCCUUGCCUCCCUAUCCCUGCUUCGAGGACGCCAGCGCCGCCUCCGCUGAUGCGAGCGCGACUGCCGCUGCCGCCGUCGGGUUUGCACGCGGGGCGAAGCUCUUUGUGAAGCAGGCACUUCCUCCUCCUGAACCACUGGUGGAGCUUGAGGAGCACCGCCCUCGGCGUCAGCUGGCGGCCAGCAUGCUGACAGCUCGCGUGCCCACGGUGGACGCCGAGAAUGUCGUGCCAGAGCAGGUGGUGAUGGGCAACGGCGGGCUGGCGAGUCGCGUUGCGGAGACGACCAAUCCUGCCUUUAACAGCUUCGACACCGUUGCGCACCAUGCAUCUAGCAGGCGGAGGGGAACAACUGCACGACGGGGAGGACGCGGUGGCGGCGCUUCUGCUGCAGCAGCCAGGACACCUGCCAAUCGUCUUCCCCGCGGCGGCAUGGCACGCGCAGCGAGCCGUCGUCCAGCGGACAACAUCGUGCUUGUGGAAGACGAGGAGGACAUGACGGCAGGGUCUGUCGGAGCGACUGCCACGCGCGUUGGUCGUGGCGGGGACGUGUCUGCCUCGGCUGCAGACUCGGCCGCGUUUCACAUAUUCGACAUUGACGGGAUCUUCUGAGAGCGCCCGUGUCUGUCCCUCUUUGUGUGUGCGUGAGCGUAUCAUCGGCAACGGCGGCAAAACCAAAAAGAACUGUUGCCGCCUAUGCUCGCUGCGGGCCGUGACACUGCCAGCGGUGUAUAGAGGAGAGGGGAGGAGAGGAAAGGGGGGGGGAGGGAGGCGGCGGCUUCAUCACCUCCCUCCGCACGUGUUACGCAGUGAUCCACACAAGGAGGGAGGGGGCGAACGGAAAGAUUGAGGCGCCUGCCACCCCCUUCUCUGUGUGCCGUCUCCAUCUCUUCCUCUCUCUCGGUCUCUCCUCGGGUGUAUAUGCACACCUCUGCCUACUCCUUGUCCCCAUCAUUGGCCACGAUGACCUUCUCCUUUGACUCUUAUUCGGAUGCUUGCAUGACACCACCAUCGCUCAUCAACGCCUACCACACGCACUCACGCCCGUGCAUGCCCAAG
rnacentral:misc_RNA from 1 species